CGCGUAGGUGGUUCAGUAAGAUGGGUGUGAAAUCCCCGGGCUCAACCUGGGAACUGCUUUCAUAACUGCUGAACUAGAGUACGGUAGAGGGUAGUGGAAUUUCCUGUGUAGCGGUGAAAUGCGUAGAUAUAGGAAGGAACACCAGUGGCGAAGGCGACUACCUGGACUGAUACUGACACUGAGGUGCGAAAGCGUGGGGAGCAAACAG
rnacentral:rRNA from 1 species